UCCUCUUCACAUACUUGCCUCUACCCCAGAACAUGAGAAGUAACUGUCAGUAAUUAUUGGCAAGUAUUAGUUUUCAGAGAUGUGAGCAAGGAAUGGACAUGCCCUAUCUCCAGCCUACGUGUAUCCUCAAUUAAAAAUGAUUUGGAUUCUGUUCCAUGUCUCCAUGCCCACUCUUGGAUCCCCAAUUUUGGGCAGACAGAUCGAUCAAUUUCUUUAGAAUAUAUUAAUCUGGACUCAGCAUGAAAGAAAAUACCCCAUUGCAAAUAUGGCUUGGAAGGCAGAAUAGUUUAUCUAAUUUAUAUACCCAUCUUCUCAAAUCUGAGAUCUCUGUAAAUACCAACUUCCAAGGACUCUUUUGUGAAGAGCAGCUUUCUCCUUCACUGACUCCUUUUUCUGCUAAGUCUAUGAGCAUUUCAGUUCAUUCCUAAAUGUGAUAUCAUUUGCCUUCCUACU
rnacentral:lncRNA from 1 species